GCGGGUAUGGUUCAAUGGUAGAACGUCCGCCUUCCAAGCUGAACACAGGGGUUCGAUUCCCCUUACCCGCUCCA
rnacentral:tRNA from 1 species